GACGAACGCUGGCGGCGUGCUUAACACAUGCCAGUCGAACGGAAAGGCCCUGCUUUUGUGGGGUGCUCGAGUGGCGAACGGGUGAGUAACACGUGAGUAACCUGCCCUUGACUUUGGGAUAACUUCAGGAAACUGGGGCUAAUACCGGAUAGGAGCUCCUGCUGCAUGGUGGGGGUUGGAAAGUUUCGGCGGUUGGGGAUGGACUCGCGGCUUAUCAGCUUGUUGGUGGGGUAGUGGCUUACCAAGGCUUUGACGGGUAGCCGGCCUGAGAGGGUGACCGGCCACAUUGGGACUGAGAUACGGCCCAGACUCCUACGGGAGGCAGCAGUGGGGAAUAUUGCACUAUGGGCGGAAGCCUGAUGCAGCAACGCCGCGUGCGGGAUGACGGCCUUCGGGUUGUAAACCGCUUUCGCCUGUGACGAAGCGUGAGUGGCGGUAAUGGGUAAAGAAGCACCGGCUAACUACGUG
rnacentral:rRNA from 1 species